rnacentral:rRNA from 1 species
UACAGAGGUCUCAAGCGUUGUUCGGAUUCAUUGGGCGUAAAGGGUGCGUAGGCGGUGAUGUAAGUUGGAUGUGAAAUCCCGGGGCUUAACCCCGGAACUGCAUUCAAUACUGCGUUGCUAGAGUACUGGAGAGGAGAUUGGAAUUCACGGUGUAGCAGUGAAAUGCGUAGAUAUCGAGAGGAACACCUGCGGCGAAGGCGGGUUGCUGGGCCGACACUGACGCUGAUGCGCGAAAGCCAGGGGAGCGAACGGG